AAUAAACCAGCACGGGCUCUCCUCCUCGAUGCCUACAGGCACGGCGCCGCCGCGCGGCCGAUCUUCUUCCCGGCCCUUCGCAAUUCUGUCUACUUCCCCUCUCCAUCUGCUCAAAUCUUCUCCUACGCCACCCUGAGCCUUCUCGGUCUCCAACCAGCUCCUGCAAUCUUCAAGCCCGCCGGCACCCAAUCCGCCUACAAUCUUCAAGCCCGCCGGCCCCAAAAGUAACCAGCGGUCGAUUCGAGUGAUCCCCGCUAGGAAUCCAUGGGAUUUGAGGUGGAUUGCCUAGGAGAGCGAGUAGGAAGGGUGAUGGUGGGGUUCAUGGGGAAGAUGAAAAAGCAGAAGGUGAUCCACGGCCCGCACGCGACGCCGAGCCACCGCGGGCCUCCUCCCCUGCCGCUCGCCGCCAUGCCAGGACGGCGUACUGGGCCUUGCCGGACGCCGAGGACAAGCGAGACAAUGGCCAUCCACCCUGGGCCAAGGUGUGUGUGCCUGAAAAUCUUUUCUCACUGUACAAUUUCUCUGUCUCGAUUCUUUCAUACGGUGUGGGCUGCCUUGGCAUAGACGGUGACUGGCUCGAGUGUGGAGGACAAGCACAGAGCGACCAACGGCGAUAACUAUGCUCGGGCAGAUGGAUUUCGCCGCGGUGGAGUUCGAGAUACGAACAGGAGAACAGUAGCUGUGAUGACUCAACAAGAUGGAAGUGCGGGACAAGGGAUGAGUGCAAUCGGCUCAGGUAAACUCCUCAUGUGCACCGUCUGGCAUCAGUUCCAGUUGCGCCCGAAGCUUUCAAUCUCGCUGCUCCACUUAGUUUGCCGAAACACUGUCGGCAUGUGCUCCAUCCAAGGUACGCCAUCGUCCAAUUCUAUCACCAGUUUUGAACUUUAAACUAAUGACUAAGGGGUCGGAGUGGCCAGGCCUGAAAGUUCAAGGAAGAUUCAGCUUACAUUUGAAUUCCUUCGUAUUGCCUACAAUGUUAUAGCUUAAAUUCUGCUAAUAAAUUUCUAUAAAUGAUGUUCGAAACAAUUUCUUAGAGAUGGGUUGUGCACAAGGAUGCACAUUGUAGAUCUGUUAACUUAAGUUUUGAAUAAUGAGAUAUGUUCAUAUGCUUUGCUCACUAUUAUUCCUAAUUUUCUCUGGACAAAAAGACUGAAGUUUAUUGCUUUUGUUCAGCCGAAUGCUACUUGAUCAGUACUUAACCAAGAUUGGCAGCCAUUAUAGCUGGUGUAGAACUCAGAUAUACACACUGAAUGUUCCGAUAUGCCAAAAUAAAAACAUUAGAAUCUUUUUAAUUAUAUUCCUACUAUUUUUUCGAGAUUGCUCUGCGGUUGCUAAUUUUGAUGUUCUGCUAUACUACUAUUGCAUAUAGAGAGAGAUCAGAGAGGAGAGCAGCAGCCCGCUGCUGCAUUUUGUUCAUUCUGCUGCUUGGUUACUACACAUCUAUACAGAGAACACAAAGAAGGCUGCUGCUUGCUGAUUACAAUUGCUUCAUGAUAUGUACAUAUCCUCAUGUAUGCUGCUGCUAGGUACCCUUGAUCAUGGUGACAAGGAAACGAUGCUGCAGUGGUAGGGAUCUGGUGGCCAUGGAGUGGCAGCCGCUACGCACAUACAUAACUCCAGCGAGUCAUGGUGAGGAGACUUUGAUCUUUAUAUGUUAGAUUCAGAGUGGAUAUACGUUACUACAUGUAGGCCCCAUACGCCAUACGAGUUCCUCCAUUUUUUUAUGUUAGCUGAUGAGCUUUCUUCUCCACUCUACACAGAUUGGUCCUGCAUGAUGCAUCCAUGGCUUAGGAUAAGAAAUGACUGUUUCCAUCUAAAUGUUAUUCAUUUAUUCUUUUUUUUCUAAAUCAAUUGAGGAGAACAUAUAAAGAAAAAACAAGUUACUCAUCUGAUUCAUUUGCAAAAUUCAGUACUCCCUCCGUUCGAAAAUACUUGUCAUUGAAAUGAAUGUAUCUAGAUGUAUUUUAGUUCUAGAUACAUCCAUUUUCAUUCAUUUUGAUGACAAGUAUUUCCGGACGGAGGGAAUACUUUCUUAUACUGCUCUGUUUUAGGAGACGGAAUAAAGCGAAAAAGAAAUUUCUUAAACAUACAAAUUCAGAUUCUCAAAAGAAAAGUAAUAGUAACAAAGCAUUUUUUAUUUUCUAUAAUAGUUUUUAUUACGAUUCACAUAUUUUAUCUUCGUAGAUUCUAGAAGUUCUUAAGCUUACUAUGAAAAAACGAAAGUUUCUUUUAUAAGGUUCAGUAGCUGCUUCAUGUUGUACUGAUUAGUUUCCAUUAAUUUGAAAAAAUUUAGCUCACGUUGCUCUCUUUAGCUGCCAUUUGCACUUGAAGGUCAGGAUCGAGGCAGGAGGUGAGGAAGUGGGGGUCAGGCUGUAAGCUAGGGUUAAGAAGGCAGUUUUUAUUUUCUAUAAUAUGUUUUUAUUACGAUUCACAUAUUUUUAUCUUUGUAAAUUCUACAAGUUCUUAAGCUCACUAUGAAAAAACAGAAGUUUUUUUAUAAGGUUCAGUAGCUACUUCAUGUUGUACUGAUUAGUUUCUAAUAAUUUGAAAAAAAUUAGCUCA